rnacentral:rRNA from 1 species
CCUACGGGGGGCAGCAGUGGGGAAUAUUGCACAAUGGGGGAAACCCUGAUGCAGCGACGCCGCGUGAGUGAAGAAGGAUUUCGGUACGUAAAGCUCUAUCAGCAGGGAAGAAAAUGACGGUACGUGACUAAGAAGCCACGGCGAACAACGAGCCAGAAGCCGCGGUAAUACGGAGGGGGCAAGCGUUAUCCCGAUUUACCGGGUGUAAAGGGAGCGUGUACGGCAGCGCAAGUCUGGAGUGAAAUCCCAUGGCUUAACCAUGGAACUGCCUUGGAAACUGGGCAGCUGGAGUGCAGGAGAGGUAAGCGGAAUUCCUAGUGUAGCGGUGAAAUGCGUAGAUAUUAGGCGGAACACCAGUGGCGAAGGCGGCUUACUGGACUGUAACUGACGUUGAGGCUCGAAAGCGUGGGGAGCAAACAGGAUUAGAUACCCGUGUAGUC